UGCGCAGGCGGGAGGAUAGGUCGGAUGUGAAAACCCCGGGCUCAACCCGGGGCCUGCAUCCGAAACCAUUCUUCUUGAGUAUCGGAGAGGGAAGCGGAACUCCAGGUGUAGCGGUGAAAUGCGUAGAUAUCGUGGGGGAACACCGGUGGCGAAGGCGGCUUCCUGGACGAAUACUGACGCUCAUGCACGAAGGCUAGGGGAGCAAACA
rnacentral:rRNA from 1 species